rnacentral:rRNA from 1 species
AUACGGAGGAUGCGAGCGUUAUCCGGAUUUAUUGGGUUUAAAGGGUGCGUAGGUGGCUUUUUAAGUCAGCGGUGAAAACUGGCGGCUCAACCGCAAGAGUGCCGUUGAAACUGGGGAGCUAGAGUAUGAACGAGGUAGGCGGAAUGUGUGGUGUAGCGGUGAAAUGCAUAGAUAUCACGCAGAACUCCGAUAGCGAAGGCAGCUUACCAGGCCAUAACAGACACUGAAGCACGAAAGCGUGGGGAUC